UUCGUUGCCAAAAAAAAUCCGAAGAUAUAUAUACUGCCGAAGAUAUACAUAUAUAUAUGUAAAAAAAACACGAGGAAAAAAAUUACGAAAAGCUGUAAAGAGCAUUAGCUUUGUGCAAUUACGCCAACGUCGCGACGGCCGACGCUUUUCCAACGAGACGGCUGCUCCUUCGUGUGGAAAUGAACAGUUUCCGGCGUGUUGAAAAAUCCUAUAAAAAUUGGUCUUUGAAUUGGGAUCGAGAUUCGGUUGUGUAAUUGUACUUUGUGAAAUGAAAUGCGUGGCACGUUUGGAAAAGCGUCGUCGCACCAGCAGCUCUGAGCUAGCUAAUAGAAGUAAAAAAAACAGGUAAAUGCGUGUAUCAGCUACAAAGAAAAAGAAAGAAUCAAAAUUAAUAUUGUUAAGUUCGAAUAAGAAUGAUUUAAUUAAAAUAAACGAUAAAUUAGAAAGAGAAAAACAGAUAAUAGAACGUAAAUUUAGAGGUGUGCGGGAUCGACUCGGGACGAUCUUGAACUUCGGAUUGGCUCGGCAAUAAUCGGUCGCGUUCGGCUGAAAGCCUCGAUAGCUGCUGCCUCGAGCCGAUCGCGCCCGAUCAGUGCCGUGUCGUGUCGAAGUUACGACUGUCGUUCGAAAAGAAUCUCGAGUGUUAUGAAUGUCGAGAUGUCAUUCGAUAUCGUCCGAUCUUGUCCGAUCUCGCCCGAAUUUUGCCGAAUUCCCGUUAAUUCAGGAUCCUGCACAUCUCUUACGUAAAUAGAACGAAACAUCGGUACCGAUUCCGAUAGAUUAAGAGAAAUAGAAACAGAGGGACCUUAAUAAUUAAGUGCCGGCCUUUAUGAAAAUAAAUCUCACCGUGACCUGUGUGUGCAACCUUUCUACUCGAUCAGUAGUAGCCUGUGGCGUUAGUUUUUCACGGCACGAUUGCGAUCGAAAAGAAAAAAAGUACAAAAAGAUACGAGAAAUAAUUAAAAAAUAUAUAUAUAUAUAUAAAGAAAAAAGAAAUAAUGAGAUUCUAAUAAUAAUGAAAAAACAGAAUUAAAAAAGGUCACUUAUACGAUAUGCAGAGACUAUUUUGUUUCUUGCAAGCGGCAUGUAUGCACUACGGAAACGUUCGUAAUUCUUCAAAGAGGAAAAGAAACAAAAAAAAAAAAAAAAAAAGGGAGUACAGUUUUAGCAUAUUUGGCACAAGUUCGAUCGACUAAAAGAGCAAAAGGCACAUUACAUUAAGAUGGAAAUAAAAAUAUGUACGUAUAUAUUUGAAAAUAAAAUAAAAAAAAAAAAAUAUAUGACAAAGGGAGACUGUAAAUUGAAUAGAAAUAAAGCAACGUAAUUGAGAAGACUAAAGAAAAAAAAAAAAAAAAAAAGGAAAGACACAAAAAGCACACAAAGUUUCAAUACUUGUCUUUUUUUUUUUUUUUUUUUUUAAUACUAUUUUUUUUUUCUACUUGUAAUUUCUUUUUUGGUCGUACAACAGAGAUAUAUAUAUAUAUAUAAAACUUAAAAAAACAAAAAAAAGAUUCAAUAAACAGUCUGUGCAUUGUUUUUUUUAAUUUCAAUUAUAUUUCUUUUAUUUGAAUUCAUUCGUCAAUAAAUUUCAUGUUGACCCGAACUUAGUGCAAGUCAUCGAGUGUUACAUCACAAACAGAUAUAUCGUUUACGAUAUACUAAUUAUCAUCAUUAUCGUACGUUACCAAAUAUUAUAAUAAUUAUAAUUACCGUUUAAAGACCAAUUAUGGUUAGCUGAUAAGUCGAUCGAUAAUAGUUCCGAAUUCUAUUUGCAAUAGUUUGUUUAAUUAACGACAUUACAUUGCAUAAUAAUUCAUAUAUUUUUCUUUUUUCCGUAUUCUUUUUUUCUUUUUCGUUCGUACUUAAUCGUAAGGUCCUAACAUCAUUACUUUAGACGAGGGAGAGAGGACAGUACAAAAAUUUGAAACGUGUUUUUUUUUCGCGGGAAAGGAAUAAUCAUGGAAGAUAGUGGGAAAAUUUCGAACGCCGCGAAAUAUCGAAU